CACAUGCAAGUCGAGCGGAAAGGCCCUUCGGGGGUACUCGAGCGGCGAACGGGUGAGUAACACGUGAGUAACCUGCCCCUAGCUCUGGGAUAAGCCCGGGAAACUGGGUCUAAUACCGGAUAUGACGCGCUACUGCAUGGUGGCGUGUGGAAAGUUUUUCGGCUGGGGAUGGACUCGCGGCCUAUCAGCUUGUUGGUGGGGUGAUGGCCUACCAAGGCGACGACGGGUAGCCGGCCUGAGAGGGCGACCGGCCACACUGGGACUGAGACACGGCCCAGACUCCUACGGGAGGCAGCAGUGGGGAAUAUUGCGCAAUGGGCGGAAGCCUGACGCAGCGACGCCGCGUGGGGGAUGAAGGCCUUCGGGUUGUAAACCUCUUUCACCACCGACGAAGCUAACGU
rnacentral:rRNA from 1 species